GGGUACGUCUGGGCUCGUGCCUAAUACAUGCAAGUCGAACGAGUUCUGAUUAUUGAAAGGUGCUUGCAUCUUGAUUUGAUUUUGAACGAGUGGCGGACGGGUGAGUAACACGUGGGUAACCUGCCCUUAAGUGGGGGAUAACAUUUGGAAACAGAUGCUAAUACCGCAUAAAUCCAAGAACCGCAUGGUUCUUGGCUGAAAGAUGGCGUAAGCUAUCGCUUUUGGAUGGACCCGCGGCGUAUUAGCUAGUUGGUGAGGUAACGGCUCACCAAGGCAAUGAUACGUAGCCGAACUGAGAGGUUGAUCGGCCACAUUGGGACUGAGACACGGCCCAAACUCCUACGGGAGGCAGCAGUAGGGAAUCUUCCACAAUGGACGCAAGUCUGAUGGAGCAACGCCGCGUGAGUGAAGAAGGCUUUCGGGUCGUAAAACUCUGUUGUUGGAGAAGAAUGGUCGGCAGAGUAACUGUUGUCGGCGUGACGGUAUCCAACCAGAAAGCCACGGCUAACUACGUGCCAGCAGCCGCGGUAAUAGGCGACUAGUGGCAGCGUUUCCGGAUUAUUGGGCGUAAAGCGAGCGCAGGCGGUUUUUUAAGUCUGAUGUGAAAGCCCUCGGCUUAACCGAGGAAGUGCAUCGGAAACUGGGAAACUUGAGUGCAGAAGAGGACAGUGGAACUCCAUGUGUAGCGGUGAAAUGCGUAGAUAUAUGGAAGAACACCAGUGGCGAAGGCGGCUGUCUGGUCUGUAACUGACGCUGAGGCUCGAAAGCAUGGGUAGCGAACAGGAUUAGAUACCCUGGUAGUCCAUGCCGUAAACGAUGAAUGCUAGGUGUUGGAGGGUUUCCGCCCUUCAGUGCCGCAGCUAACGCAUUAAGCAUUCCGCCUGGGGAGUACGACCGCAAGGUUGAAACUCAAAGGAAUUGACGGGGGCCCGCACAAGCGGUGGAGCAUGUGGUUUAAUUCGAAGCAACGCGAAGAACCUUACCAGGUCUUGACAUCUUUUGAUCACCUGAGAGAUCAGGUUUCCCCUUCGGGGGCAAAAUGACAGGUGGUGCAUGGUUGUCGUCAGCUCGUGUCGUGAGAUGUUGGGUUAAGUCCCGCAACGAGCGCAACCCUUAUGACUAGUUGCCAGCAUUUAGUUGGGCACUCUAGUAAGACUGCCGGUGACAAACCGGAGGAAGGUGGGGAUGACGUCAAAUCAUCAUGCCCCUUAUGACCUGGGCUACACACGUGCUACAAUGGAUGGUACAACGAGUUGCGAGACCGCGAGGUCAAGCUAAUCUCUUAAAGCCAUUCUCAGUUCGGACUGUAGGCUGCAACUCGCCUACACGAAGUCGGAAUCGCUAGUAAUCGCGGAUCAGCACGCCGCGGUGAAUACGUUCCCGGGCCUUGUACACACCGCCCGUCACACCAUGAGAGUUUGUAACACCCGAAGCGCGGUGGCGUAACCCUUUUAGGGAGCGAGCCGUCUAAGAGUGGGACAAAGUGUAACAGUUAGGGUGAAGUCGUAACAAGGAAAC
rnacentral:rRNA from 2 species